UACGUAGGGGGCAAGCGUUAUCCGGAAUCACUGGGUGUAAAGGGAGCGUAGACGGCUGAGCAAGCCUGAAGUGAAAGGCGGGGGCCCAACCCCCGGACUGCUUUGGGAACUGUACGGCUGGAGUGCAGGAGAGGUAAGUGGAAUUCCUAGUGUAGCGGUGAAAUGCGUAGAUAUUAGGAGGAACACCAGUGGCGAAGGCGGCUUACUGGACUGUAACUGACGUUGAGGCUCGAAAGCGUGGGGAGCAAACAGG
rnacentral:rRNA from 1 species